rnacentral:rRNA from 1 species
GACAGAGGUGCCAAGCGUUAGGCGGAAUCACUGGGCUUAAAGCGUGUGUAGGCGGAAUUGUAAGUACCUUGUGAAAUCCCACGGCUCAACCGUGGAACUGCUCGGUAUACUGCUUUUCUUGAGCCACUUAGGGGCUACCGGAACAAAUGGUGGAGCGGUGAAAUGCGUAGAUAUCAUGGGGAACACCAAAAGCGAAGGCAAGAGACUGGUCCGCUCCUGACGUUGAAACACGAAAGCGUGGGUCGCGAAUGGG